GACGAACGCUGGCGGCGUGCUUAACACAUGCAAGUCGAACGAAGAGCGAUGGAAGCUUGCUUCUAUCAAUCUUAGUGGCGAACGGGUGAGUAACGCGUAAUCAACCUGCCCUUCAGAGGGGGACAACAGUUGGAAACGACUGCUAAUACCGCAUACGAUCUAAUCUCGGCAUCGAGGAAAGAUGAAAGGUGGCCUCUAUUUAUAAUCUAUCACUGAAGGAGGGGAUUGCGUCUGAUUAGCUAGUUGGAGGGGUAACGGCCCACCAAGGCGAUGAUCAGUAGCCGGUCUGAGAGGAUGAACGGCCACAUUGGGACUGAGACACGGCCCAGACUCCUACGGGAGGCAGCAGUGGGGAAUCUUCCGCAAUGGACGAAAGUCUGACGGAGCAACGCCGCGUGAGUGAUGACGGCCUUCGGGUUGUAAAGCUCUGUUAAUCGGGACGAAAGGCCUUCUUGCGAACAGUUAGAAGGAUUGACGGUACCGGAAUAGAAAGCCACGGCUAACUACGUG
rnacentral:rRNA from 1 species